GAUGAACGCUGGCGGCGUGCCUAAUACAUGCAAGUCGAGCGAAUGGAUUAAGAGCUUGCUCUUAUGAAGUUAGCGGCGGACGGGUGAGUAACACGUGGGUAACCUGCCCAUAAGACUGGGAUAACUCCGGGAAACCGGGGCUAAUACCGGAUAACAUUUUGAACCGCCUGGUUCGAAAUUGAAAGGCGGCUUCGGCUGUCACUUAUGGAUGGACCCGCGUCGCAUUAGCUAGUUGGUGAGGUAACGGCUCACCAAGGCAACGAUGCGUAGCCGACCUGAGAGGGUGAUCGGCCACACUGGGACUGAGACGCGGCCCAGACUCCUACGGGAGGCAGCAGUAGGGAAUCUUCCGCAAUGGACGAAAGUCUGACGGAGCAACGCCGCGUGAGUGAUGAAGGCUUUCGGGUCGUAAAACUCUGUUGUUAGGGAAGAACAAGUGCUAGUUGAAUAAGCUGACACCUUGAUGGUACCUAACCAGAAAGCCACGGCUAACUACGUGCCAGCAGCCGCCGUAA
rnacentral:rRNA from 1 species